UACGUAGGGUGCGAGCGUUAAUCGGAAUUACUGGGCGUAAAGCGUGCGCAGGCGGUUUUGUAAGCCAGAUGUGAAAGCCCCGGGCUUAACCUGGGAAUGGCAUUUGGGACUGCAAGGCUUGAGUGCGGCAGAGGAGACUGGAAUUCCUGGUGUAGCAGUGAAAUGCGUAGAUAUCAGGAGGAACACCGGUGGCGAAGGCGGGUCUCUGGGCCGUUACUGACGCUGAGGAGCGAAAGCGUGGGGAGCGAACAGG
rnacentral:rRNA from 1 species